AGUUCCUGGCUAGUAUAUUGCCUGGAAGCAAGCAGACCCUUCACGAGACUUCACCAGACAGAUGAAAGACACACAUCCCGUGGAUUAGCACAACCCACCACGAGAAGAACUGUUGAGAUUUUCAGCUGACUCUAUCACACGCGGAGCUCCUGGAGUACGUGCAGAGACUGCCCACCGCAGCACCCGCUGAAUUAGUCCCUAGCACAGCAGCCUUACAAACCGGGAGGCCUGAUUUUCGAGUUUGGCCUGAGGACAGGAAGUCAAAAGCUGGCAGAAGAUGGAUGCUUUGCAGAAGUGACAAAUUUAGUUUCCUGGAGAAAGUUGCUGACUGCAAUGUUCCAAUUGGAUCAGCUUAUCUGCCCCUCCAGAUGUUGAAAUAAUGACAGAUGCUCAGAGAAAGCUUGACAAGAGGAAGAAAAGAGCCUGCUGAAGGGUCCACAGCCUGUUUGUAUGCAGGAAAAUAAAAGCAAUGCUCAUUGAGAUCCGUAUUCUGAUGAGGGCGUCAGCCACCUCCUGUGAAAGCGACUUGUUCUCACCAGAGGAAAACCACCCAGUUGUAAUAUAUGGUUUGCCAGAUAAGAGAAACGUCUCUCCAAACAUUUCACCUUUCCCAAGAGGUUCCUUUACAUCUUACUCGGACUGCCGAAAGAACAUCUCACCGUUCCCUUUGCAGUAAGUUCUCAUUCAGGGCUGAAAAGCACUUGUUACUGUGAAGUGCUUUCUGUAUUGGGUUGAAAUCUAACUCUUGACUGUGCACUCUGAACCUUAUUCCUCCGGUGAAUCACUAGGGGACUGAGCUGAAAGUCGUGCUCCAGCUGGAUUAACGAGCGUGCGGAGGAGCGGACACAGAGAACUCGGAAAGGGAGAAGAAUUACAGAGUGGUACGGGCAUGGGCUUAAAGAGGCAUGGGCUUCAUCAUCCGACUUGGGUUUGGACAGAGAGUUCCAGAGCUUCCUUAUGGUGUUUUGCAAUGUGAUGCCUCUCAGAUUUCUCUUAAGUACAUUUAAAUAAGCUCUGGAGGAGACAGCAUGUUCGCAUGGCAUAUGUUUCCACACAGUCUCUGGUUUGAAUGAUUGACACAAACAAGCUAGAAUCCCAGAACUCGGAUGAGGGCAUAGCUAGAGCUCUUUGGCCACAUACAUUCUUGCUCAAAUCCUUCGUUGUGCAUUUAGGAGAAAAAAAAAUAACCAUCUGAAUCUUCCGAAGAUCCACAUGAAGUGAGCUGCAGAGAUGGGAAAUAUAAUUCAACUUUUAAAAUUCCUAAUGCGAGAACAUGCCUAUGUAUUCUCUUUGCUGUCCAUUCUCUGUAUCAGUGGAGAGCAGAUAAAAUAUGGAUAAUAUAAACUUAUGCAAUAAAAAUCUUACAGUUCCUUUAGGGAUAUUUCUGUUUCACAAUCUGCAUUCCAUUUAAUCAAUUAAUUAGUCAAUUUCCAAUCUGUAAUAUGUAUAACAAUGUAUUAGUUUUAGUAUAAGUGGAUAUCCUUUGACUAAAAUGAAUGUUUUUGUAGAAAAAAUAUAUAACAUAAAAUUCACCACUUUAACCAUUUUAAGUGUACAAUACAUUAUUAUUAAUACAUGCACACUACUGUGUAACAGCUCUCUAGAACUUUAAAAUAUUGAAAAGCUGGAACUCUACACCCAUUGAACAGCAACUUCCCAUUUUCCAUCUCUCUCUCUUAGCAUUUCCUAAUCUGUAUUGAAUUCCCAUUUGAAUUUGCCACUUUUUCAUGAAGUUAAACUUCAUUAUAAGACACAGGAUAAUGCUAGUGCUAUUAUAAUUGUAUUUGGGGAAUAGUACGACAGUAUCCAAUUUUCAUUUACAGUAAUUAGAAAUACCAUGAUAUGAAAGUUUUGAAGGCUCCAAUGCAUAAUAAGAUCAGAUAUCUUAUAUGCCACAUACUUUGAUCUGAAAGUCUGGGCACGUGGGUGUAAGAGAACUACUUAAUCUUCUUCAAAAAGCGAUUGCAGCCUGACUGGUAUAGCUCAGUAGAUUGAGCAUGGGACUGUGAAGCAAAGGGUCACAGGUUCUAUUCCCUGUCAGGGCACAUG